GUCAUCUGGGGUUAAAAACUAGGUCACUAGGUCAAAAACUAGGUCACAUAAUAGGUCAAAUACUAGAAAAACCUUGUGUAGACAAUAGAGGUCGCAGUUUUCAUCCAAUCUUUAUGAAAUUUGGUCAGAAUGUUUAUCUUGAUGAAAUCUGGGUUGGGAUUGUAUUGGGGUUAUCUGGGGUCAAAAACUAGGUCACUAGGUCAAAAACUAGGUCAAAUAAUAGAAAAACCUUGUGUAGACAGUAGAGGUCACAGUUUUCAUCCAAUCUUUACGAAAUUUGGUCAGAAUGUUUAUCUUGAUAAAAUCUGGGUUGGGAUUGUAAUUGGGUCAUCUGGGGUCAAAAACUAGGUCACUAGGUCAAAAACUAGGUCAAAUAAUAGAAAAACCUUGUGUAGACAAUAGAGGUCGCAGUUUUCAUCCAAUCUUUAUGAACUUUGGUCAGAAUGUUUAUCUUGAUGAAAUCUGGGUUGGGAUUGUAUUUGGGUCAUCUGAGGUCAAAAACUAGGUCACUAGGUCAAAUAAUAGAAAAACCGUCAACAAUUUGUUUGUGUAGACAGUAGAGGUCACAGUUUUCAUCCAAUCUUUAUGAAAUUUGGUCAGAAUGUUUAUCUUGAUGAAAUCUGGGUUGGGAUUGUAUUUGGGUCAUCUGGGAUCAAAAACUAGGUCACUAGGUCAAAUAAUAGAAAAACCUUGUGUAGACAAUAGAGGUCACAGUUUUCAUCCAAUCUUUAUAAAAUUUGAUCAGAAUGUUUAUCUUGAUGAAAUCUGGGUUGGGACUGUAUUUGGGUCACCUGGGGUCAAAAACUAGGUUACUAGGUCAAAUAAAAGAAAAACCGUGUGUAGACAAUAGAGGUCACAGUUUUCAUCUAAUCUUUAUGAAAUUUUGUCAGAAUGUUUAUCUUGAUGAAAUCUGGGUUGGGAUUGUAUUUGGUUAGUUAGGUGAGCGAUUCAGGGCCAUCAUGGCCCU